rnacentral:rRNA from 1 species
CAAUGGGCGAAAGCCUGACGGAGCAAUCUCGCGUGAGGGAUGACUGCCUAUGGGUUGUAAACCUCUUUUUUCAGGGAGGAUAACAGACGUGUACCUGAAGAAUAAGCAUCGGCUAACUCCGUGCCAGCAGCCGCGGUAAGACGGAGGAUGCAAGUGUUAUCCGGAAUCACUGGGCGUAAAGCGUCUGUAGGUGGUUUAAUAAGUCAACUGUUAAAUCUUGGAGCUCAACUUCAAAAUCGCAGUCGAAACUAUUAGACUUGAGUAUAGUAGGGGUAAAGGGAAUUUCCAGUGGAGCGGUGAAAUGCGUAGAGAUUGGAAAGAACACCGAUGGCGAAGGCACUUUACUGGGCUAUUACUGACACUCAGAGACGAAAGCUAGGGUAGCAAAAGGGAUUAGAUACCC